rnacentral:lncRNA from 1 species
GCUAGUAUCAGAGUCAGGAUUUAGGAAUUAUGCAUGCAAGAUUAAGAUUAGAUCUGAAUUAGAUUAGAUCUAAGUUGUGUUUAGAUCUGAAUUUAAAUCAGUUAGAUCUGAUUUAUACAUGAAUCUGAAAAUAGAUUAGAUCCAGAUUUCAGCUUUUUGAUAUAAUCAGUAUGUUUUAAAUUAGAUCUAAAUUUUAUACUCUUAUUAGGAUUGAUUUUUAUAUUUAAUCUAAAAAUUAUGAUUAGAUCUGAAACUUAAGAUUAGAAGAUUAAAAAUUAGUAACCUAAUUUAGUGCAUAAAAAUUAACAUAAUUAUUAUGUUGCAUGAGAUGCAUAGAUCUGAACAUUAAGAUUACAAUAUGAUUUCAUGUGAAGCAUGAGAUG